UACGUAGGGGGCUAGCGUUGUCCGGAUUUAUUGGGCGUAAAGAGCGUGUAGGCGGCCAGGUAGGUCCGUUGUGAAAACUCGAGGCUCAACCUCGAGACGUCGGCGGAAACCCUCUGGCUAGAGUCCGGAAGAGGCGAGUGGAAUUCCUGGUGUAGCGGUGAAAUGCGCAGAUAUCAGGAGGAACACCAAUGGCGAAGGCAGCUCGCUGGGACGUGACUGACGCUGAGACGCGAAAGCGUGGGAGCAAACAGG
rnacentral:rRNA from 1 species